rnacentral:rRNA from 1 species
AUGUGUAGGGAAGCUGUGUGUUUGUUUCAGGUUGGGGAACACCUUGGGCAGGUAGUGGAGACGAUGACCUUGUUGCGGGGUGUACAAGGCGAAGCUGGCCAACAUCGAGCUGUGGCUGCUGCGCGAGGGAAAGAACUACAAGACGCUGGGUCAUGCAACCCUAUCGUGCGGCACAUCGGGGUUCAGAGGCGAGCGGCACUAGAAUCGGUGCCUCUCCGAGCCUUCAAUCAGGGUUGCGGAAAAGAGAAGAUGGAUGUACUACUUCAUCCGCCGAACACUCCAUUAUUUGGUGAAAGCAUUUGUGCUAUUUCUUUGAUCCGAAUGGAAGACAACUUUUUUCAAGAUUGUUGGUAA